rnacentral:rRNA from 1 species
GUCGAGCGACAGAUGAGAAGCUUGCUUCUCUGAUGUUAGCGGCGGACGGGUGAGUAACACGUGGGUAACCUACCUAUAAGACUGGGAUAACUCCGGGAAACCGGGGCUAAUACCGGAUAAUAUUUUGAACCGCAUGGUUCAAUAGUGAAAGACGGUUUCGGCUGUCACUUAUAGAUGGACCCGCGCCGUAUUAGCUAGUUGGUAAGGUAACGGCUUACCAAGGCGACGAUACGUAGCCGACCUGAGAGGGUGAUCGGCCACACUGGAACUGAGACACGGUCCAGACUCCUACGGGAGGCAGCAGUAGGGAAUCUUCCGCAAUGGGCGAAAGCCUGACGGAGCAACGCCGCGUGAGUGAUGAAGGUCUUCGGAUCGUAAAACUCUGUUGUUAGGGAAGAACAAAUUUGUUAGUAACUGAACAAGUCUUGACGGUACCUAACCAGAAAGCCACGGCUAACUACGUGCCAGCAGCCGCGGUAAUACGUAGGUGGCAAGCGUUAUCCGGAAUUAUUGGGCGUAAAGCGCGCGUAGGCGGUUUCUUAAGUCUGAUGUGAAAGCCCACGGCUCAACCGUGGAGGGUCAUUGGAAACUGGGAAACUUGAGUGCAGAAGAGGAGAGUGGAAUUCCAUGUGUAGCGGUGAAAUGCGCAGAGAUAUGGAGGAACACCAGUGGCGAAGGCGGCUCUCUGGUCUGUAACUGACGCUGAUGUGCGAAAGCGUGGGGAUCAAACAGGAUUAGAUACCCUGGUAGUCCACGCCGUAAACGAUGAGUGCUAAGUGUUAGGGGGUUUCCGCCCCUUAGUGCUGCAGCUAACGCAUUAAGCACUCCGCCUGGGGAGUACGACCGCAAGGUUGAAACUCAAAGGAAUUGACGGGGACCCGCACAAGCGGUGGAGCAUGUGGUUUAAUUCGAAGCAACGCGAAGAACCUUACCAAAUCUUGACAUCCUUUGACCGCUCUAGAGAUAGAGUCUUCCCCUUCGGGGGACAAAGUGACAGGUGGUGCAUGGUUGUCGUCAGCUCGUGUCGUGAGAUGUUGGGUUAAGUCCCGCAACGAGCGCAACCCUUAAGCUUAGUUGCCAUCAUUAAGUUGGGCACUCUAGGUUGACUGCCGGUGACAAACCGGAGGAAGGUGGGGAUGACGUCAAAUCAUCAUGCCCCUUAUGAUUUGGGCUACACACGUGCUACAAUGGAUAAUACAAAGGGCAGCGAAUCCGCGAGGCCAAGCAAAUCCCAUAAAAUUAUUCUCAGUUCGGAUUGUAGUCUGCAACUCGACUACAUGAAGCUGGAAUCGCUAGUAAUCGUAGAUCAGCAUGCUACGGUGAAUACGUUCCCGGGUCUUGUACACACCGCCCGUCACACCACGAGAGUUUGUAACACCCGAAGCCGGUGGAGUAAC